GGUUCAUGAUGACGUGGGACCUUGUCUGAGCGUAAUGAUUUCAAACUUUGAGCUUGACAUGACACUGAAAUC
ensembl:snoRNA SNORD107 small nucleolar RNA, C/D box 107